UGCAGUAUAUUCAUGUCAUGUGUCUUCAUUUGGAUUAUUAGCCCCUAGAGUCCAGCAAACACGUCAAAGCUUAAAGUUAUUUUAUAGCUCACACUGUCUCUUUAUCUCUGCCAGAUGGAGUUACUAUACGCUAAUGAAUAUAGAAGAAUCUCAUAAAAAACCCUAAAAUGACAGGAUUUGAAAAUUCUCCUUUUCAACUAAGGGAGACUAAAUUAAAGGCUGAGCUUUGGAUGAAAUUCAGAAGACGUCCAGAAGUGGGAUGAUGAUGCUACAGGACAGCUCUGGGAUGCUUUACCAACACUGUGGAUAGAGGUUUUUCUCAGACCAAGAAAAGGUUUAAACUCUUCUAAGGAUUGUCAUCUGGUACACCCAAAGCAAAGGCUUUAACUUUCUGGAUUACGAACCAUUCUCUAGAAGAUUGUGAAAGAUAUGUUCCUUUCCUCAGUCCUCCAAAAUUGACUUGAAAUUUUCCAAGAAGAUUUUAAGAAAUCUGAAACUCUGAAGACUACUUUCAGAAGAAAAUUCUCAGAUCUUUGAGUACAGAUU